ACUUAUAACGCUUAAGUAGUAAAAUAGAUUAAAACUAUUUAAAUUUGGCGGUUGUUAUACAUUAGAGAAACUCGUUUGUUAAUCGACAACGCCCGUUAAUUUUAACUUUCUUUAAAAGCCAAUAUACCUCCGUUUAAGAAUCAACCUAAUAUAAUCCCCCAAAACAAAAUUCUAAUAAAAUCAGGUCAAGGUGCAGCCAAUAAGAAAGAACAAAUAAGUUACUUAUAAAACCAAUUUUAUGAUUUUUAUCGAAAUGAAACCAAUGAAAAAGAAUCUAAAAGCAUAACUUAAUUAAAAACUAAGUUUUAAACAAAUAAUAACAAUGU
rnacentral:rRNA from 1 species